rnacentral:rRNA from 1 species
UACGAAGGGGGCUAGCGUUGUUCGGAUUUACUGGGCGUAAAGCGCACGUAGGCGGAUCGUUAAGUCGGGGGUGAAAUCCUGGAGCUCAACUCCAGAACUGCCUUCGAUACUGGCGAUCUUGAGUCCGGAAGAGGUGAGUGGAACUCCUAGUGUAGAGGUGGAAUUCGUAGAUAUUCGCAAGAACACCAGUGGCGAAGGCGGCUCACUGGCCCGUUACUGACGCUGAGGCACGAAAGCGUGGGGAGCAAACAGG